UGCUUCUGACUGGGGGGGGUGGGAGCAGCCCUUUCCCAACGCUCCCCCACAGACCAGAAGCUUCACCCUUGUGACUUCUUUCCAAGAAAUUGUCUCCUGCAGAAAGAACCUACAAUGUUGGAAACCGAGAACUACUGGUCUGGACCGACCAUAAAAGCUUGGCAUUCAUCCAAUCCACCAAAAGACUCAACUCACGUCAAGCCAGGGUGCCAUCCUCAAUCCAUGGGUUGGACUGAGAGAGCCAACCAGGACCUAGAAGCAUCCCUUCGUUGUGUCUGCUCAGCGUCCGUCCUCCUGGGCCAACAUCUGCCGUGGACAGAGUAAGCCCACAACUCCCUGACCACCUCCGCCACUGGCUUCUCACCUUUCAAGGUCGCCUUGGGAUACCACCCACCCCCUCUUGUUUCCUGCUCAGGAGAGGGACCUGGCUGUUCCCUCGGUUCAGGAGAACCUAAAGUAGCGUUUGGAGCGACCCAGGAAGCCCUGCUCAACGAAGCCAAACUCACCCCCGGCGCCAGAUCGUUGCACCUACCAGCGUGAGUACCGCCUCAACCAGACGUUGCCGUGGUGUCUGCUACAGCCUUCUACGUAAGGUUGGAUUCCAGAAAGAAAGUUUGGAUCCAGGACUGCCUGCCCUCCUCGGCCCCUAUCCAGAUCCUACCUGGUGUUUUUCUGUCCUUGGCUGCUAUAAAUACAGAAG